UACAGAGGGUGCAAGCGUUGUUCGGAAUUACUGGGCGUAAAGGGCGCGUAGGCGGCCUGUUAAGUCGAACGUGAAAUCCCCGGGCUCAACCCGGGAACUGCGUCCGAUACUGGCAGGCUUGAAUUCGGGAGAGGGAUGUGGAAUUCCAGGUGUAGCGGUGAAAUGCGUAGAUAUCUGGAGGAACACCGGUGGCGAAGGCGGCAUCCUGGACCAUGACUGACGCUGAGGAGCGAAAGCCAGGGGAGCAAACGGG
rnacentral:rRNA from 1 species